AUGUUUAAAAAAACAUAUGCUGAGAACCUGCCUGCACUUGAAGGAAAACAGCAGUGGGAUAUUGUAGACCCUGGUUUCAAAUUAAGUCCACCUGUACAUAACAAAGCUGCACCUGGCAGGCCAAGGAAGACAAGAAUUAAGCCAUCAAGUGAAGGAAAAGGACUUGGUCCUAGGAAGAGAAAAUGCAAGAGGUGUGGUGGCUUGGGUCACUUACUGAAAACCUGCAAAAAAGCCAUUGAUCCAGCAUUUGGUGAAGAAGAUGCACACUGGGGAGCUGACAAUGCUGAAGAAGACCCUCCUAACCAAAAUGCAGACCUACAUGAUGAACAAGAAGAAGAAGAGGAGCCAUACAGUGAAGAUGAAGCUCCAGUGCAGCCUGCAGGUGCAGAUGAUGCUCCAGUGCAGCCUGCAGGUGCAGAUGAUGCUCAAGUAGAGCCCCAUAGUGAAACAAAUGAGGCAGCAACACAAGCUUCCACAGUUGCAGAUGAAGUUCAAAGCACACCAAGGAAGAACUACAAGAAGGCAGCAGAGAGAGGAGCAUCUCCAAUGGCUAUCAGCAAGAAGAGGAAGCUUAACACUUCUACAAGUCCAUAA
rnacentral:rRNA from 1 species